AUCUCUACAAGAUGCUCUAAUACCCCAUCUCUACAGGAUGCUGUAAUACCUUUCCUCUGUACUCUCAAACAGGCUACUGCAGUCACCUCUAUGGGAGUUAAGGAAGUCAUAUCUAUCACCAGCCCUUCAGAAGAAGGCGGCCGGCUCACCAUACUCACUUCUGGCCAUAAAACAGCUCCCUUAAUUCUGUCCCAUGUUAAAGUUCCAUCACACCAAUGACAAUAUCAAGUAACAUUACACAACACAGAAAACAACAUGGAGUCCACAGAGAAGAAGCAAACACAACCCCAGCCUACCCCACCCCUACUCCAUCAAUCAGCUCUGGGGAUAGAGAGAGCUGCCACAGGAAGACAACUGCAGAAGGUGAGCCAGAGCUCACCACAGCCUCUCCUUGCCCUUCCAGCCUCCAGGAUGAUAACAGACAGGUUUCUGUGGAGUGUAAGCUGCCAGGAUUAAUGCAGACA
rnacentral:lncRNA from 1 species